rnacentral:rRNA from 1 species
GAUGAACGCUGGCGGCGUGCCUAAUACAUGCAAGUCGAGCGAACAGAUGAGGAGCUUGCUCCUCUGACGUUAGCGGCGGACGGGUGAGUAACACGUGGAUAACCUACCUAUAAGACUGGGAUCACUUCGGGAAACCGGAGCUAAUACCGGAUAAUAUCUUGAACCGCAUGGUUCAAUAGUGAAAGACGGUUUUGCUGUCACUUAUAGAUGGAUCCGCGCCGCUUUAGCUAGUUGGUACGGUAACGGCUUAUCACGGCGACGAUGCGUAGCCGACCUGAGAGGGUGAUCGGCCGCACUGGAGCUGAGACACGGUCCAGGCUCCUACGGGAGGCAGCAGUAGGGAAUCUUCCGCAAUGGGCGAAAGCUUGACGGAGCAACGCCGCGUGAGUGAUGAAGGUCUUCGGAUCGUAAAACUCUGUUAUGAGGGAAGAACAGAUGUGUAAGUAACUAUGCACGUCUUGACGGUACCUAAUCAGAAAGCCACGGCUAACUACGUG